UAGGGAAUAUUAGAAAUGGACGAAAGUCUGAUCUAGCAACACCGCGUGUGCGAAGAAGGCCUUCGGGUUGUAAAGCACUUUUUGGAAGGAUUAGGAAGGAAUGUACUUCCAGAAUAAGUCUCGGCUAACUACGUGCCAGCAGCCGCGGUAACACGUAGGAGGCAAACGUUAUCCGGAUUUACUGGGCGUAAAGCGCGUGUAGGUGGUUCUGUAAGUAGGGCGUGAAAGCUCCUGGCUCAACUGGGAGAGGCCGUUCUAAACUGCAGAGCUAGAGGAUGGUAGAGGGAGUGGGAAUUCCGGGUGUGCGGUGGAAUGCGCAGAUAUCCGGAGGAACACCAGUGGUGAAAGCGGCCUCCUGGACCAUUCCUGACACUCAGACGCGAAAGCUAGGGUAGCAAACG
rnacentral:rRNA from 1 species